UAGGGAAUCUUCCACAAUGGACGCAAGUCUGAUGGAGCAACGCCGCGUGAGUGAAGAAGGCUUUCGGGUCGUAAAACUCUGUUGUUGGAGAAGAAUGGUUGGCAGAGUAACUGUUGUCGGCGUGACGGUAUCCAACCAGAAAGCCACGGCUAACUACGUGCCAGCAGCCGCGGUAAUACGUAGGUGGCAAGCGUUAUCCGGAUUUAUUGGGCGUAAAGC
rnacentral:rRNA from 1 species